GCUAGCGGGAGGCUUAAUACAUGCAAGUCGAGCGAGAAUGUUUGUGCUUGCACAGACAGGACAGCGGCGCACGGGUGAGUGCCGCGUACACAAUCUACCAUAUACAGGAGGAUAGCCCCGGGAAACUGGGAUUAAUACUCCAUGGCCCCUAAAACAGGCAUCUGUUUAAGGGUAAAGCUCCGGCCGUAUAUGAUGAGUGUGCGUACUAUUAGUUAGUUGGUGAGGUAACGGCUCACCAAGACGAUGAUAGUUAGGGGGCGUGAGAGCGUGAUCCCCCACACGGGUACUGAGACACGGACCCGACUCCUACGGGAGGCAGCAGUAAGGAAUAUUGGGCAAUGGAGGCAACUCUGACCCAGCCAUCCCGCGUGCAGGAUGACGGCGCUACGCGUUGUAAACUGCUUUUGUACAAGAUGAAACCUAGGGNNUUAUCCUUAGCUGACGUUAUUGUAAGAAUAAGCACCGGCUAACUCCGUGCCAGCAGCCGCGGUAAUAC
rnacentral:rRNA from 1 species